UUUCAAGGUAAAUCAUAUUAACUUUAUGGUAGGCAAAGUAGGUUGCUGUGAGUGGCAGAGGCUGUUGCUCCUGGAGUAUCUAAGUUCAGUACAGGCAGUCCAUGGAGAACUGAGAGAGAAAGAGGCAGAGAAGCAGGAAGCCACGGGACAGAAUGGAAGAUCUGGCAUCAGCCACUUUUGCCUUUAAGGACUUUCUGGCAGCAACCAGAGGCAGGUCUAUGCAACAAUGGAAACUGCAUAUAAAAAGCUUCCAUAUCAUACCCAAGAGAAAAGAAUGAAAAACAAACUUUCUCCAGAAAACCAUUUUGCUCCAGACAAAGAAGUCUUACUGGAUAUUUAACAAUUUAAAAUAAUGUCCAAUUCUUUGCAUUUCAGUUUUCCCAAGACAAAGAAAGGGUUAUAAUAUGUCAUAUUUGCUGCUUUGACAAUGGGAAUCAUUCCAUUUGUAUUACCAUCUCAAUAUUGUUUGGGGCUAUCUUGUAAUAAAAC